rnacentral:rRNA from 1 species
AACGAACGCUGGCGGCAUGCCUAACACAUGCAGGUCGAACGAGACCUUCGGGUCUAGUGGCGCACGGGUGCGUAACGCGUGGGAACCUGCCCUUAGGUUCGGAAUAACUCCCCGAAAGGGGUGCUAAUACCGGAUAAUGUCUUCGGACCAAAGAUUUAUCGCCUUUGGAUGGGCCCGCGUUGGAUUAGCUAGUUGGUAGGGUAAAAGCCUACCAAGGCGACGAUCCAUAGCUGGUCUGAGAGGAUGAUCAGCCACACUGGGACUGAGACACGGCCCAGACUCCUACGGGAGGCAGCAGUGGGGAAUAUUGGACAAUGGGCGAAAGCCUGAUCCAGCAAUGCCGCGUGAGUGAUGAAGGCCUUAGGGUUGUAAAGCUCUUUUACCCGGGAUGAUAAUGACAGUACCGGGAGAAUAAGCUCCGGCUAACUCCG